AUGCCUCCCAAGCGCAAGUCCCCGGUUGCGACGGCGGCAGCCCCCGCAAUGCCGCCUAGGAUGACCCGGAGCAUGGCCGCCGGGAAGCGGGGCGCCGACGCUCCGGCUAAAAAGGAGGAAGCAGAGGCGGCGCCGGCGGCGGCCGGGGGGAAGGGCAGGAAGAAGGCCAAGAAGGAGGUGUCUGCGGUGGAGACGGUACUGUCGCCUCCUGCAGCGGCCAAGCAGAAGGUGAAGAAAAAUGCCAAGAAGGAGGUGGUGGCGGCCGCGGUAGAUGAUGGCGGUGCUGGCGCUGAAAGCGGGAAGCGCGUCAUCGUCGAGGCCUGGACAAAAUGGAUCUCCCAGACCUCAACUUCACUCCACCUGCAGAAGAUGUGGACGAAAUGGAUGAAGAAGCAGAAAAUGAAAUGGAAGGAGAUGGAGUGGAAGGAGAUGAAAUUGUUCAAAAUCCAGGUGCUGGGCAAAUUGGUAGAAAAAAUAAAACCCUCAAUGACCAGCAAAAAUUUGUUGCUUAUGUAG
rnacentral:rRNA from 1 species